rnacentral:rRNA from 1 species
AUUGAACGCUGGCGGCAGGCCUAACACAUGCAAGUCGAGCGAGCGGCGGACGGGUGAGUAAUGUCUGGGAAACUGCCUGAUGGGGGGGGAUAACUACUGGAAACGGUAGCUACUACCGCAUACCAUCAGAUGUGCCCAGAUGGGAUUAGCUAGUAGGUGGGGUAAUGGCUCACCUAGGCGACGAUCCCUAGCUGGUCUGAGAGGAUGACCAGCCAAACGGGAAUUGAGACACGGUCCAGACUCCUACGGGAGGAAGCAGUGGGGAAUAUUGGAAAAUGGGCGCAAGCCUGAUGCAGACAUGCGGCGUGUGUGAAGAAGGCCUUCGGGUUGUAAAGCACUUUCAGCGAGGAGGCGUUCUCGCCGGGAAGCAACGGCUAACUCCGUGCCAGCAGCCGCGGUAAUAC